GAUCAUGGCUCAGGAUGAACGCUGGCGGCGUGCUUAACACAUGCAAGUCGAACGAAGCACUUAAGAUUGAUUCUUCGGAUGACGUCUUUUGUGACUUAGUGGCGGACGGGUGAGUAACGCGUGGGUAACCUGCCUCACACAGGGGGAUAACAGUUAGAAAUGACUGCUAAUACCGCAUAACCCGAUAGGAUCGCAUGAUCCAGACGGAAAAGAUUUAUCGGUGUGAGAUGGACCCGCG
rnacentral:rRNA from 1 species